rnacentral:sRNA from 1 species
UAUAAUUUCAUUAAAUUCGCAGACUGUUUUAUCCUUCGGUAGUGCAAUGAAAUCCUGGCUUUUCGAUUUUUUUUAAAUGUAGUUGGAAAAUAGAAACUCGUAUUUUUUCUCCAUCGAUAAACAGAUAUUUUUACGUGAAGUUAUAGUAUGUGUAUACAACUUAAAGCUUCUAUGUUUAGCUUCGAAUUGAAAACUCCAGAAUUUUCGCACAGGGUCACAUUUUUUCAUCACCUCUGGAUAGUGCGUGAAUCAUUUCCUAUAUCAAACUGGCCGUAGUCAAAAUUGUGUUUUCGAACAUUAAGCGUCUCUAAAGAAAAAUAUUUCUUUGUUCGAAUGAAAUAAAGGAUGGAAUAAUGCAAAUCAUAGUGGCAAAUUCCCUCGGAAUGUAUUGUGCAUGGCGUCUACGCUGAAGUUGUCAACAACACGAAAAGAAGAAUUUAGAUGGAUCUCUGCUACUUACAUCUGAACUAUAGUUUUCAUAUGUUCUCUUAGGAGUUGGAUUUGCGGAAUUUACUUUGCUCAAAUUUUUGUCUAUUUUCCAAAUUCUACAAAAGGUACCACUCAAUGAUUUUCUAAAGCCUAAAAUAGAAUUUAGGCCCAAAUUAGGCAAGAAAUAAAGUGAGGAUUAUAUUUUUUGCCACUGUUUAAAACGAUUUCUACUCCUGACACUUCCAAAUCUUUUAAUUGGCUUACAAUCGGUUUCAAACAUUUUUCAAUAGAAAAUUUUUGCAAAUCAACACCUUUUACUGAUGCUGCUAAAAAUAUAUGAUCUAAUUUUGUAUCUUCAUAAGAAAAAGUCGGAAGCGAGAAAUAAAAGUUCCUUACUGUAUGGGUAGUGGAAUAUGCUCCCAAAGGAUUAUUUAA